rnacentral:rRNA from 1 species
AUUGAACGCUGGCGGCAGGCCUAACACAUGCAAGUCGAACGAGUGGCGGACGGGUGUGUAAUGUCUGGGAAAUUGCCUGAUGGAGGGGGAUAACUACUGGAAACGGUAGCAAAUACCGCAUACGGAUGGAUGGACCCGCGGUGCAUUGGCUUGUUGGUGGGGUAACGGCUCACCACGGACACGAUGCAUAGCCGACCUGAGAGGGGUAUCGGCCACACUGGAACUGAGACACGGCCCAGACUCCUACGGGAGGCAGCAGUGGGGAAUAUUGGACAAUGGGCGCAAGCCUGAUGCAGCCAUGCCGCGUGUAGGAAGAAGGCCUUCGGGUUGUAAAGUACUUUCAGCGGGGAGGCGUUACCCGCAGAAGAAGCACCGGCUAACUCCGUGCCAGCAGCCGCGGUAAUAC